rnacentral:lncRNA from 1 species
CGGAGGUAAACUUCUCGCACGAAGCUUAUCCGUGCGUUCCCAUCGCCCCUCGAUACAGGGCGAGUCAGUUUUGCCUCCGAGGGGAGGUUGCGGUACUCCAUGACCCUGUGUUUAAACUUUAUCCGACAUGUCGAAACCGCCCCUUGUUUGAAGGCAAAAUGGACACUGUUGCGCAAGGGUAUAUUUGGAAGAACGGGAAUGCAUUAUUGCCUGCAUCGAUGGCGGGGGUCACCGCGCGUGACAACACCGGGUUCCAGCAAUGAUCGCGUAACUCGGGAUGAGGUGGAGGUUUUGGAGCCGUCUGAUGGUGCUUCGUCGGGAUGGGCGUCUGCAUCGACACAAGGUACAAGCGGUCGUUGAUUCCGCUACGGAUGGCAGCAUCAGAACCGUUGAUUGGCCUGCUGUAACGUACGUACGACCCCUGUGUUCUGCGCCUUUCUUU